rnacentral:rRNA from 1 species
UACGUAGGGUGCGAGCGUUAAUCGGAAUUACUGGGCGUAAAGCGUGCGCAGGCGGUUCGUUGUGUCGGCGGUGAAAGCCCCGGGCUUAACCUGGGAAUGGCCGUUGAAACUGGCGAACUGGAGUGUGGCAGAGGGGGGUGGAAUUCCCGGUGUAGAGGUGAAAUUCGUAGAUAUCGGGAGGAACACCGGUGGCGAAGGCGGCGAUCUGGGUCGAUACUGACGCUGAGGUGCGAAAGCGUGGGGAGCAAACAGG